rnacentral:rRNA from 1 species
GGGUUGUGAGGUUAAGCGACUAAGCGUACACGGUGGAUGCCCUGGCAGUCAGAGGCGAUGAAGGGCGUGCUAAUCUGCGAUAAGCGCCGGUAAGGUGAUAUGAACCGUUAUAACCGGCGAUACCCGAAUGGGGAAACCCAGUGUGAUUCGUCACACUAUCAUUAACUGAAUCCAUAGGUUAAUGAGGCGAACCGGGGGAACUGAAACAUCUAAGUACCCCGAGGAAAAGAAAUCAACCGAGAUUCCCCCAGUAGCGGCGAGCGAACGGGGAGGAGCCCAGAGCCUGAAUCAGCAUGUGUGUUAGUGGAAGUGUCUGGAAAGGCGCGCGAUACAGGGUGACAGCCCCGUACACAAAAGCGCAUGUGCUGUGAGCUCGAUGAGUAGGGCGGGACACGUGGUAUCCUGUCUGAAUAUGGGGGGACCAUCCUCCAAGGCUAAAUACUCCUGACUGACCGAUAGUGAACCAGUACCGUGAGGGAAAGGCGAAAAGAACCCCGGCGAGGGGAGUGAAAAAGAACCUGAAACCGUGUACGUACAAGCAGUGGGAGCACAGGUUUACCUGUGUGACUGCGUACCUUUUGUAUAAUGGGUCAGCGACUUAUAUUCUGUAGCAAGGUUAACCGUAUAGGGGAGCCGUAGGGAAACCGAGUCUUAACCGGGCGUUAAGUUGCAGGGUAUAGACCCGAAACCCGGUGAUCUAGCCAUGGGCAGGUUGAAGGUUGGGUAACACUAACUGGAGGACCGAACCGACUAAUGUUGAAAAAUUAGCGGAUGACCUGUGGCUGGGGGUGAAAGGCCAAUCAAACCGGGAGAUAGCUGGUUCUCCCCGAAAGCUAUUUAGGUAGCGCCUCGUGAAUUCAUCUCCGGGGGUAGAGCACUGUUUCGGCUAGGGGGCCAUCCCGGCUUAUCAACCCGAUGCAAACUGCGAAUACCGGAGAAUGUUAUCACGGGAGACACACGGCGGGUGCUAACGUCCGUCGUGAAGAGGGAAACAACCCAGACCGCCAGCUAAGGUCCCAAAGUCAUGGUUAAGUGGGAAACGAUGUGGGAAGGCCCAGACAGCCAGGAUGUUGGCUUAGAAGCAGCCAUCAUUUAAAGAAAGCGUAAUAGCUCACUGGUCGAGUCGGCCUGCGCGGAAGAUGUAACGGGGCUAAACCAUGCACCGAAGCUGCGGCAGCGAC